UCCAUCACUUUCACCUCCACAGAGGUAACCACCACAGAAGCCCCCACCACCUCAGGACAUACCUCCACAUCUUUCUUGACCACUGGAGCCACCUCCACUGAUGUCACCUCAAUAGAGGUGACCUCCACGGCAGUCUCAACCACCUCAGGAGUCUCCUCCACUUCCUUCUCCACCACUGAAGCCACCUCCAUCGCUGUCACCUCCACUGGUAUGACCUCCUCAGAACCCACCACCACCUCAGGACUCUCCUCCACUUCCUUCUCAACCACUGAUGCCACCUCCACUGGUGUUUCCUCAACAGAGAUGACCUCCAUGCCAUCCCCAACUACCUCAGGACUCUCCUCCACUACCUUCUCCACCACUGAAGCCACCUCCAUCACUGUCAUCUCCACCUCCACAGAAUCCCCCACUACCUCAGUAGAGGCCUCCACUUCCUUCUCUAGCACUGGAGCCGCCUCCACUGCUUUUACCUCCACCGAGGUGAUCCCCACGGCAGCCCCCACCACCUCAGGACCUUCCUCCACAUCCUUCUCCACCACUGGAGCCACCUCAACUCCUCUCAUCUCCACUGGUAUGACCUCCACAGAACCCACCACCACUUCAGGACUCUCCUCCACUGCUCUCCCCACCCCUGAGGCCACCUCCACUGGUCUCACCUCAACAGAGAUGACCUCCAUGCCAUCCCCAACUACCUCAGGACUCUCCUCCACUUCCUUCUCCACCACUGAAGCCACCUCCAUCACUGUCACCUCAAUGGAGGUGACCUCCGCAGCAUCUACCACCACCUCUGCAGAGUCCUCCACUUCCUUUUCCACCACUGAAGCCACCUCCACUGCUUCUACCUCCACAGAGGUAACCACCACAGAAGCCCCCACCACCUCAGGACAUUCCUCCACUUCCUUCUCCACCACUGAUGCCACCUCCAUCACUGUCACCUCCACAGAGGUAACCACCACAGAAGCCCCCACCACCUCAGGACAUUCCUCCACUUCCUUCUCCACCACUGGAGCCACCUCCACUGAUGUCACCUCAAUGGAGGUGACCUCCACAGCAGUCUCAACCACCUCAGGAGUCUCCUCCACCACUGAUGCCACCUCC
rnacentral:lncRNA from 1 species